rnacentral:rRNA from 1 species
AGAGUUUGAUCCUGGCUCAGGACGAACGCUGGCGGCGUGCCUAACACAUGCAAGUCGAACGGACACAGAUGUUAGACUACAGACAUCAGACAACAGACAAGAGACAACGAAGGACGGAGAGUGGACAGAGGAUAGGGGAACGGACAUAGAGCCGUUUUCAAAUCGGAGGUCUCGGAAGCGACCUGAGAAGGAAUAUCUGAAAUCUGGUAUCUGAAGUCUAAUAUCUGUGUUAGUGGCGGACGGGUGAGUAACGCGUGAGCAACCUGCCUUUCAGAGGGGGAUAACGUUUGGAAACAGACGCUAAUACCGCAUAAGACAGUAGUAUCGCAUGGUACGGCUAUCAAAGGAGCAAUCCGCUGAGAGAUGGGCUCGCGUCCGAUUAGAUAGUUGGUGGGGUAACGGCCUACCAAGUCAGCGAUCGGUAGCCGGACUGAGAGGUUGAACGGCCACAUUGGGACUGAGACACGGCCCAGACUCCUACGGGAGGCAGCAGUGGGGGAUAUUGCACAAUGGGCGAAAGCCUGAUGCAGCAACGCCGCGUGAGGGAAGACGGUUUUCGGAUUGUAAACCUCUGUCUUUGGUGAAGAAAGAAAUGACGGUAGCCAAGGAGGAAGCCACGGCUAACUACGUGCCAGCAGCCGCGGUAAUACGUAGGUGGCAAGCGUUGUCCGGAAUUACUGGGUGUAAAGGGAGCGCAGGCGGGGAGACAAGUCCGCUGUGAAAACUAUGGGCUUAACCCAUAGACGGCAGUGGAAACUGUAUCUCUUGAGUGGAGUAGAGGCAGGCGGAAUUCCGAGUGUAGCGGUGAAAUGCGUAGAUAUUCGGAGGAACACCAGUGGCGAAGGCGGCCUGCUGGGCUCUAACUGACGCUGAGGCUCGAAAGUGUGGGGAGCAAAUAGGAUUAGAUACCCUGGUAGUCCACACUGUAAACGAUGAUUGCUA